rnacentral:rRNA from 1 species
GACGAACGCUGGCGGCGUGCUUAACACAUGCAAGUCGAACGGAACUCUUUGGAUCGAGACUUCGGUCAAGUGAAUCUGAGUUUAGUGGCGGACGGGUGAGUAACGCGUGAGGAACCUGCCUUUCAGAGGGGGACAACAGUUGGAAACGACUGCUAAUACCGCAUAACGCAUAUUGAUCGCAUGGUCGAUAUGCCAAAGAUUUAUCGCUGAAAGAUGGCCUCGCGUCUGAUUAGCUAGUUGGUGAGGUAACGGCCCACCAAGGCGACGAUCAGUAGCCGGACUGAGAGGUUGACCGGCCACAUUGGGACUGAGAUACGGCCCAG